rnacentral:rRNA from 1 species
GACGAACGCUGGCGGCGUGCUUAACACAUGCAAGUCGAACGGAAAGGCCCUGCUUUUGUGGGGUGCUCGAGUGGCGAACGGGUGAGUAACACGUGAGUAACCUGCCCUUGACUUUGGGAUAACUUCAGGAAACUGGGGCUAAUACCGGAUAGGAGCUCCUGCUGCAUGGUGGGGGUUGGAAAGUUUCGGCGGUUGGGGAUGGACUCGCGGCUUAUCAGCUUGUUGGUGGGGUAGUGGCUUACCAAGGCUUUGACGGGUAGCCGGCCCGAGAGGGUGACCGGCCACAUUGGGACUGAGAUACGGCCCAGACUCCUACGGGAGGCAGCAGUGGGUAAUAUUGCACUAUGGGCGGAAGCCUGAUGCAGCAACGCCGCGUGCGGGAUGACGGCCUUCGGGUUGUAAUCCGCUUUCGCCUGUGACGAAGCGUGAGUGACGGUAAUGGGUAAAUAAGCACCGGCUAACUACGUG